AGCGGAGGAGCCUCCAGAAGGGGGACCCCGGGCGCUGACUCAGCAGGGCAGGUCAGCAUGUUUUCCCGGGAGCACGGUGUCCCCGCCGGAGCCUGUGGAGGGUGAGCAUCGGAGACAAUCAAUCUGGCCUAACAGAACUGAAUUUCAUCUGCUGCCUGAUCUGGAAAUGCAGUAUGCUUCCCUGCCACCUUCUUCAACCAUUAUUUGCUCUUUGAGGUAAGUGAGGAUUCUGAUCCUUAAUAAGCUUAACAAAACAGUCCUGACAUUCAGCCUUUAUGAUCUGGGGAGACUGAAUGGGCAUUUGAGCCAGACACUCGUGAACUUCUUGUAGAAUGUUAUUAAGGAAAACAUGAGUAAAUAUUUGAAAGAAAGAAGUCAAAUCAUUUGAGAUCUCAAAUUUGGCUCAUGAGCCUUAAUAAAGGUGCAGUGAUGUUAUAAAGGUGUGGAGAAACCAUGGCCAUCUGCAUCUGGAAUGACUUGAGGAACAGUUCCUAAAGAAUUAAUAUUGGACCUGUGUUUAAACACUUCAGAUAGAGAUAUCUUCCAAGAAGUUAACAGAAUGUCUG